UACAGAGGGGGCAAGCGUUGUUCGGAAUACUGGCGUAAGGCGUGACGCAGCGGUGAGUGUAGAACAGGUGUGAAAUCCCCGGGCUUAACCUGGGAACUGCAUUGUGACUGCAUCGCUGGAGUGCGGCAGAGGGGGGAUGGAAUUCCGCGUGUAGCAGUGAAAUGCGUAGAUAUGCGGAGGAACACCGAUGGCGAAGGCAAUCCCCU
rnacentral:rRNA from 1 species